UAACAAAACCAGAUAAUGACGGUGCUUCU
rnacentral:piRNA from 1 species